rnacentral:rRNA from 1 species
AGAUGGCGACCGGCGCACGGGUGAGUAACACGUAUCCAACCUGCCGAUAACUCGGGGAUAGCCUUUCGAAAGAAAGAUUAAUACCCGAUGGCAUAAUUAGACCGCAUGGUCUUAUUAUUAAAGAAUUUCGGUUAUCGAUGGGGAUGCGUUCCAUUAGGCAGUUGGUGAGGUAACGGCUCACCAAACCUUCGAUGGAUAGGGGUUCUGAGAGGAAGGUCCCCCACAUUGGAACUGAGAUACGGUCCAA